UCCUUAGAGGACUAGUGGUUAGGCAUCGGUGCUCUCACCACCACGGCCCAGGUUCGAUCCCCAGCCAGGGAA
rnacentral:tRNA from 1 species